AAGUCGUAACAAGGUUUCCGUAGGUGAACCUGCGGAAGGAUCAUUACCUAGAGUUGUAGGCUUUGCCUGCUAUCUCUUACCCAUGUCUUUUGAGUACCUUCGUUUCCUCGGCGGGCUCGCCCGCCAACGGGGACAAACAAACCCAUUUUUGCAGUGGAAGUCUCUUGUCUGAACAAUACAAACCUUAUUAAAACUUUCAACAACGGAUCUCUUGGUUCUG
rnacentral:misc_RNA from 1 species